AUUCAAGAAUUUCCUUAAGGCCUACCGUGAAGACGUCGGAGGCAAGUUAAGACGUUGGGGAGCAGGUAAGAGAGACCAGAGUUCAGAAACAGACCGAUAAUGAUCUACCAGCUCCGGUGGGGAGGUCCAAGCUAGGGGAGUUUGUGCCUCCUCUGUGGAGUUGGGGAGGAAAGGUACCGGGCGGGCUCUGGUCCUCCUCCGACAGCCCUUUCCAGCAGGCCCGGGGCUGCUAAGACCCAGGCCUGGCGUUGAGCAACAGCAGCUCUCUUCCACAUGGUUGCUGGAGAGCGACCCUCCGAGCUGCCCCGAGGCCAUGUGGCUGCAGCCACAGGGUGCCCAAACCCGGUGCACGUUCAAGACGUGAAACCAGAGCAGAGAAGGUGCCGGAGGAAAAUCCAAAGAAUGGGAUGUUGGGGUACAAGACUCACUUCCUUUGGGCUUUGUCCUUCUUGGCCUUGGUCCUUUUCUUUCGGGCCUGGAGCGCAAGCACUGCAGGAGAGAGGGAUGGAUGAAGGGCGAAUGUGGAGGAAAGGAGGCGACCAAGGUGAGGGUGGAGACCCAGCAGGGG
rnacentral:lncRNA from 1 species